rnacentral:tRNA from 1 species
GGGGAAUUAGCUCAGCUGGGAGAGCGCCGCGUUCGCAAUGCGGAGGUCAGGGGUUCGAGCCCCCUAUUCUCCACCA